UUUUUUUUUUUUUUUUUUUGCUUUUAAGGGCUGUACCCAUGGCACUUGGAUAUUCCCAGACUAGGGGUCGAUUGGAGCUAUAGCUGCCAGCCACAGCCACAGCCACAGCCACAGCAAUAGCAAUGCAGAAUCCAGGCUAUGUCUGCAAACUACACCACAGCUCACAGUAAUGUCAGAUCCCCAACCCACUGAGCAAGGCCAGGGAUCAAACCAGCCUCCUCAUGGAUACUGCUCACAUUCAUUUCUGCUGUGCCAUGAUGGGAGCUCCCUAGUAGACACCAACUUUAUUCAAAAGUUUGAAACUAGUAAGGCUAGUAAACAGCCAUCCUCACAUUAAGUUCUUCCUCUACUAAGAGAAAAUGUUAACCAAAUAUGUUUGCAAAGGUCAUUCAGGAAUUCUAAGAUAAUUUGAUAAUUUUGCUCAUUUAAUUUCACAAGAAUUAAAAUUUACCUGAAAACUACCAAUAGUUUCCCAUUCAGCAGCACAUCUAGGAAUAUGUAGGUCUUUGUAGUCUUAUUUUUUUUAUUUUUAAUCUAUCACAUAUUUUAUGUAUAUAUGUCACUGGAAGAGGUCUGCUGGACAACUAACUGGAGAACAUUACACUUUACUUGGAAAGAAAAUCAGAAUGGAAAAAUUACAGCUACAUAUUGAGUUAAAUAAAGGGAUUUAGGAAUUAUUAGGAGAAUGAUGCUGAAAAAAAAAAAAAACCUCAGAAUGUGGUAUUUCCAGGUAAAGAGACCUAUCAAGAAACUAAAACCGACCACAAGAGCAGAGCCACAGAGAAAGCCAUCUGGGCUUAGCAUUUAUUCCAGGGACUUCCCUUAGCUUUUAAAACAGGAGAUUUCUCGAUUAAAACUUGGAUUUUGGGGUUUGUGGCUUUUUCCCACAUCCUUUUUUCCUCCACUGAAUCCUCUUCCUUCCAUCAGUUUAUCACACACAAGGUCAAAGGUAAUCAUUACUGAAUUAUGCAAGAACUCAUAGAAAUUAGAAUUAGAUGAAUUAAAAGUUAAAAUAAAUCCUCGCAUGUUACUCUGUUAGCUUGGGAAAGGUUUAAAGUACUUGGCAGUCCUUUGCAAGUGAAAUAGAACACUGCUCAGAAGUGUAUACUUUGGAGACACAGGUGCUGUUUAGAAUAUUGAUCGUGAUACUUUGUAAAUGUGUGAAUUUGGACAAGUCAUUUAACUUUAAUGGGCCUCAAUUUUCUCAUCAGGAAAACAAAGAUAAUAAUACCUAUUAACUAGGGUUAAGAGGAUUACAACAAAACCCAUUUUAGCAAAGUAUUUAAUAGAGCAGCUGACACACAGAAGUACUGUGUAAGUUGCAUCUUUUACAUUUAUCUUGUUACUUAGAUUUUGAAUUUUCCGGCCAGCCUCUAGGCUCCAAUCUUGCGAGAAACUAGUGCUGUUAGUUCUCUUUUUUUCUAAGGACUUGGCUAAGUUCCUCUCUUUUUUUUCCUCAUUCAAAAAUAGUGCUUUUUUUUUCCUGCCCUUAACAGUGCUUCACUUUGACCAUGACUUGAAUCUGUAUUCUGUCUUUCACCUGAACAGAGACCUGCUUCAGCUUCUUACCAUCUCCCCCGAGCUCUGUACCCCGUAUUAAUAUAACUGCAUUUAAGCUCAUUCUUUUCCAUCUCAGAGAAGAGGCAUCUCCCUCCUGCUGGUUCACAGUUACUUUCACAAACUCUGAUGGAUCUCACUUUAUCCUAUUUAAAUAAUUAUCUUCCUCCUUCCAUUUAUCUUUUCCCCUUCAUUCUUCUUUCUCUAGAUUUUAUCCCCACCAAUGUAUAAAUAUGUUUCAGAGUAUGUUAUCUUAAGAAAAAAAAAUCUUCCUUCAACCUUAAGCCUUUCUCCGGGCUCCUUUAUUCUUAUCUAAGAGUCUUGAAUACGACCACCCUUUGUCUCUAUUUUCUCACUUUUACUCUUCUACUAAAUACAAAAUCUUGUUACUGACCCCCACCUCUCAAUUAAAAAAUGUUCUUUCCCUGGUCAGCAAUGAUUUCUUUCUUGUAAAGACGAAUAAACACUUGUCAGAUUUAUUUGCAGCAUCUGAAAAUGUGGAUCAUCUUCUCCUGGGAUUCUCCUCUUUGAGUUUCUAACAGCACCACCUUCUCAUCCUCCUUCUACCUCUCCAACUCCUGACUGAAAUCCAUGAGAUCCUUUACAUAUGGCUCUGUUUCUGCAGAGUCAUUAUUCUACCUUCACUUCUCUUUCAUUCAACAAACGCACAUGGGUUAGUCCGACAUACAUCCACAGUAAUCCUUAUGUCUCCAGCCCGGCAUUUGAUUCCAUCUACUGGCCCAUAUAAUCACUCCCUGAAAAGACUACUUGGACAGCAUUUCAAAUAUAAUCUGGCCAGAACAACAUUAUGCAUACCCCUCCACCCCCGCUCAAUAACUCACGAAAUUUAAUUCUGUCUUGGAGGCUUCUACCAUCAUAUGGCCAGUUUACCAAGGAAUCUAAAGGUCAUUUUACAUUUCUCACUUCCCCCUACAUUCACUCCAUUUCAACAUUUUGUCGAUUCUGCCUUUGAUAUACCUAACGAUGCACUUCCCUUCUCUGCUAUUCCUGCCUUGGCUUUAUGUUAGAGCCUCAUCUUUUCUUACCUAGAUUCCCUAUUUAUCUUUCCUUCUUCUCAUCUUCCUUUCUUCUCUUCCAAGUCCACUUCCUGUAUGGCCACAAAAGUGAUUUUUUUAAAGUAUUAAUCAAGAUUACAUCAUUCUCUUAAAUCAUUCCAAGUCUUUCUAUAGCCUUCAGGAUAACUUUCUACUAUAGCUCUUACUGCUCUGUAUUUUAUGUACUUGUGUCUUACCCCCUAGAUUGAAUCUCCAAUCUAGAUUCUCUAAGAGGGAAACAUGAGAUGCACUUUAUCUGCGGCACAGGUCCCCUCACCUGAUGCAUAUUUGGCACUCUCUGAUCAGUAUGUAAAACACUAGCUAAGUAGCUCAGUUAAUGUUCCUCAACCUCAUCUCCACCAUUAUUUCUUCUUAGGACCUUCACUGAGUCAAUUUGUUGAGAUGUGUAUAGUGGAGUCUUUUCUCUCCAUCUUUGCCUUUCCUAUUUUUCUUUCUUACCCUUGUUUUUCAGGUUUCUUCGACAGGUAAUUUAUCUAAAUAUAUGCAUUACAGAAAUCACAAACUCUUCUUCCUGUGAGUCCUGAUUUUGACAUUCCUUACUGAACCCUAGUUUUACUCAUGACAGGUGCUUAGCUCUUCAAAAUAUUAGUACAUUGGUAGCACAAGCUGGUUGUCUUGAAGAUUGCAUUCAUCUCAAAUACGUCCAUCACAUCUCUUUCAAGAAGUUACCAAGUUAAAUGCCCUAGAAAAUAUUACAUUGAAUUGAUAUACUGUUGGGAAACUAUAGCACUGAUUUCUCUUAAAAUAUAAGAUGUAACCAAGGCCUAACUACACAUAUUUCUUUCCCUUUUGGAAGUUAUAUCUAAGUCUAUGCAAACUAUUUAGAAAGAAGGGUGUCUGCUAGAGGUCAGAGCCAUUCAAAAAUACUCUUUAUACUCACAAACAAGUUUAAUUCUAAGUGAAAAUAUAAAUAUACCACAAAUACGGAAUCAAAGGAUACAAAUUUAAUGUACACAUUUCAAAGAAUGGGAAAUCACAGAGGUCUUACCCUAACUGUGUAUAGAAACUGUUUUUGUAGCAUUGUUUUUAAAAAAGACAUUGCUUUAGGGCAAUGAUAAUAAAGCAAUAACAUUUAUAAAUGUCAUAUACUGGAUAGCUAGUAUAAUUUCAAAGUUCUGUGUACAUUUUAAUCUCAAAAGAUCACCAUUUUCCCUUGGAAUCAAACUUAAUUAGAAGGUCUUUAAGUUAAUCAGGUUUAAAUACACCAGGAGAAUUUCCAAAUAUGAUUAUACCAGUGAUGUGUAUGGCCAAAAUGAAUUUUAAGCUGAAUUACCACUAAAAUAUUUUUUCUUAUAAAACUGAAUUGAGGACCACUGCUUCAACUGAGACUGGAGUCAAGAACGACUUUCCAGAGUGACCUCAGCAGUAUGGCUGAAUAACAAAUUCCUCACUUGUACUCGCCCCUUAAUAAUAAUAAUUUGGCAUCCAUCCACAGACAAAAGGGCAUUUGAGGGAACUACAGGAUAAAACACCAUAUGUCAAAGGACCUGGGACGUGUCUCAUUCACCCACGUAUUGGACAGGCAUACAGACCUUAAUCCUGGUGACAGACAUUGGCCUAUAAGCCAGCUCCAGCCCUUUUUGGCAGUGAUCUGGGAGCCUCCAGAGAACACCACUUUAGACAAUCACCCACAGACAAGUAAGGCUUUAGGGAAGUCCAAGUUUCCAGUGGAGAAGUUCCAGCAUAAAAUUGCAAUAAAAGAAUGGAAGUUUGGAUGCACUGGAGAGGUUUGUAAAAGGAAUACUUUGACUUCGCGCCUGUCGGUUCCCCUCAAGGUAGCACAGUUGGAUGCCAAGAAAGAUUUUCUUAGGCUGUGAUUUCUCCCAUGGGGGGCGGUGAGUGAGAAUAUAUGAGUGAGUAACUAGCUUCUCUAGCUGUGCUGGACUUUGCCAAAGAGACCUAUUUCUCACUCCCCCAUCCAGAGUACUGAGUCAUAAGUUACAUGAUUGAGGAGCAGGAAAAGCCUGGGAGAUGGGACUCUCAGAGCACACUAAAGGAACGCAGACCCUAGUAACUGUACUGAGGACUCUUCGAGAAGCCCUUUCACAAGUCACUGGGGUCGCCAUCAGUGCAGAUUCCCCCAAAUGGCCCACAGGCACCCCAGCACUCUGAGUAUCUCAAGUACAAACACCCCAACCCUGUGGCUGGCUCACUGAGUGCACCCUCAAUGGGAACAAGAGCAAUCUUUAGCAC
rnacentral:lncRNA from 1 species